rnacentral:misc_RNA from 1 species
CCAUGUCCACACAUGAGCAAUCACGGAUUGGUGUGUCCCGCGGGCUCCUUGCCUCUCGCAAUCAACCACUAAAGAGGCCAUCCUUCUUAGUCCUGUGCUCAUUCGUAUCUUUAGGCCAUCCUUUUUAGUCCAGUACGUUGCGUGUGCCAUCUACCCGGCUCUGCAGGAAGUCAACGUACCCUAUGUGCUAGUUCACUUCCCCACCUCGAGCGGGAGGCACAACCACAANNNNNNUGUGGUCGUUGCGCGCACCUUAACGACACAAUCCUUGGGCCCCNGUGCUAGCUGGGCUCCUAAAGUAUCGCAAGCUCUCGCAAAUGCGACAAGCUUCGGGGACUUCGGCCCUCGGCCCGGACCUUGGUCGGUCAUUAAGCCACCCUCGUCGAGANNNNNNNNNNNNNCAACAAUCGAUCCACCGAUGGGCCCCCUCAGCUCCCUGCGGGCGGUCGGGUGCCUUGACAGCACCGGCAUCGCAAAGGA